rnacentral:rRNA from 1 species
CGGGGUGGAGUAAUGUCUGGGAAACGGCCUGAUGGAGGGGGGUAACUACUGGAAACGGUAGCUAAUACCGCAUAACGUCUUCGGACCAAAGUGGGGGGACUUCGGGCCUCACGCCAUCGGAUGUGCCCAGAUGGGAUUAGCUAGUAGGUGGGGUAAUGGCUCACCUAGGCGACGAUCCCUAGCUGGUCUGAGAGGAUGACCAGCCACACUGGAACUGAGACACGGUCCAG